GACAGAGGGUGCAAACGUUGCUCGGAAUCACUGGGCGUAAAGGGCGCGUAGGCGGCCUUCUAAGUCGAACGUGAAAUCCCCGGGCUCAACCCGGGAACUGCGUCCGAUACUGGGAGGCUUGAAUCCGGGAGAGGGAUGUGGAAUUCCAGGUGUAGCGGUGAAAUGCGUAGAUAUCUGGAGGAACACCGGUGGCGAAGGCGGCAUCCUGGACCGGUAUUGACGCUGAGGCGCGAAAGCCAGGGGAGCAAACGGG
rnacentral:rRNA from 1 species